rnacentral:misc_RNA from 1 species
ACACCCAUCAAGCCUGGCUUGGUAUUGGGCGACGGGACCUCCCCGCGCCCCGAUUUCGCCGGCUGGACGACUCCGAUCUCUCAAGCGUUGUACAAUCUCGCUGAUGAGACGGGCGGCCCACGCCGUUAACCUCAAUCAAUCA